rnacentral:misc_RNA from 1 species
AUUUUUGGGAGCUUGCUCCCAAAAGUUAUCCCCGGACGGGUGAGUAACACGUGGGCAACCUGCCUAUAAGACUGGGAUAACUUCGGGAAACCGGAGCUAAUACCGGAUAAUUCAUAUCUACUCAUGUAGGUAUGCUGAAAGACGGUUUACGCUGUCACUUAUAGAUGGGCCCGCGGCGCAUUAGCUAGUUGGUGAGGUAACGGCUCACCAAGGCGACGAUGCGUAGCCGACCUGAGAGGGUGAUCGGCCACACUGGGACUGAGACACGGCCCAGACUCCUACGGGAGGCAGCAGUGGG